ACAAUAAAAUAUCCUUUUACUCCGGUUAUAUUUAUUACUAACUCUCAAUUAAUCUAUCUUAAUUAUUUUCUAACCACUUUCUAUAUUUAUCAGCUAUUUUAUUUCUUCUUGUUAAUCUGCGAAAUCCAUGCAUGUACACUUCCUUGUAUGGUGAUUGAUUGUUCACGAGCUGGUACAUGGUGUUCCGCAAGCAGGGAGCCAUAACCUAUUUUGCAUGUAGACCUUCUUGUUUGAUGAUUACUUGUUUACAAGGCAGCUGUCAUACAUUGUGUUCCACGAACAACGAUCCAUAACCUAUACUUGCACGUACACUUUCUUGUAUGUUGAUCACUUGUUCACAAGGUGUUCGAUAUCUGUAUUAUUCGACAAACAGCACUAUAACAUAUACUACCGCACUACGUUGCCCACUGAAAUCGCUUUAUUCAUUGCUUAUUUCGAUUAUGCGCUAGUUUUAACUUGUUUAAAUGCACCGUUCGCGGAAUCCCUUUUACUUCGAUCUUGACGUUUUGGUUCUGCAAGAUUUCUAGCACUUUGUAUGGUCCAGUAUAUUGAUCGGAGAAUUUUCCUUUACUGGGUUCUUUUAGUAAAUAUAUCGAAUCUCCUAUUUUAAAA